AAUGAAAUGUGAAAUACUACUACAAUGUUCUGAAGAAUAUUGGGUGACCUUGACUCACACCAUACCUAAUGUUUGGACUCUCUAAAAUGGAAAAAAGGUAUCCUACUAUUCAAAACAGUAAUGCUAGAUGGUGAUUGCUGAAAGGAACACUCUUCGGCAAGUGGUUGGUUGGUUCACAGCAUGGGUUCUCCCACUUGUCCAGUAUGAUGAGGGCUCUGUGCUAGAUGGAGGAUAGCAAUUCUUGGAUGCAUCUGUCGCAAAAGACAUUGAUCAAAGACCAGAGACUAGGUGGACAGUGACUUGGCGAUUCACUAAUUAGUUAUCAAUAUACAAAUAUAAAUCAUAUAUCACUGUAUAUACAAGCAUAUGCUCUUGUAGCCACUUCCUUAUGGUCAUGGCAGGAGGCAUGGCACAUUUCUGUCUCAUUUCUGCAUUCAUCUGGUAGUGUUUUCAGGGAGCAGCAGUGCCACGAUGGACUACUUCAAUGCUGCUGAGCCCAUCCAAGAGCUGAUGUUUUUGACUGAACCCAUAGACUUUCAUUUGUAUGACACUGCAUUCUUUUUAUUGGAUAUAAUGGAAGCUCGGAUUAUUUAACAGUUGUCUCUGUAAUCUCACAACACAUGUCCGAAUUAGUGAGCCACCAUCGUUGUCCAUAUCUGAUCUUCUUACUCCUUCCGGGAUGAGCUUCAUCAGCUUUCUGUUCUUGGUUUACUGAUAGGUUGCAUGUGUGGCAUUGCAUCCUCUACUUAUACCAUCCAGUAGUCUUGGGGGCCAACGAAAACUAAACUUUGCAUGCCAAUAGCCACUUCUCCUCAUGGCCAGAGCAACACAAUUGAUCUACUUGUUGCUGUGCUUCUGUUCCUAUGCGCUGCUGUCCCAGGGGAACAAUAGCUCUACAGAUGAGCAUGCUCUCCUCUCCUUCAAGUUCAUGCUGUCUUCAGGCCAGUCCAGCUUGCUGGCUUCUUGGAACAUGUCCAGCCACUACUGCAGCUGGCCUGGAGUUGUUUGCUCCAGUCGGCACCCCGACAGGGUCGUCGCCCUGAACUUGGGCUCCUUCAACCUCUCUGGACACAUCAGUCCCUUCCUAGGCAACCUGUCCUUUCUUCGGAAGCUGGUCCUCUGUGAGAACCAGCUCAUCGGGCAGAUACCACUGGAGCUUGGUCAUCUUGGCAGGCUUCAAGUGUUGAAUAUGAGCCAGAAUCAUCUCGAAGGAAGCAUCCCUAAGACCUUGGGAGGAUGCAGGAAGCUCAAGAAGCUCGACCUACAUGAUAACCAACUCCAAGGUGAGAUCCCGUAUGAGAUAGGCACCUUGGGAAACCUGGUCUCCUUGAAUUUUGGUAGAAAUGGUUUGACAGGAGAGAUACCUCGAUCUCUAUCAGGCUUGAUAUCCAUCAAACAAUUAUCUUUGUACACAAACAGAUUAUUUGGUGAGAUACCACAUUUUGGGGGUAAUUUCACCAACCUCCAGCUUCUUGAGCUCCAUGAAAACAUGCUAUCAGGUGCUAUCCCUUCAUCCUUGGGCAUGUUGCCCAGUUUAUCUGGGCUCAGCUUAGGCUUUAACAGUUUAAGUGGCUUGAUCCCAACUUCCCUUUGGAACAUUUCCUCGCUUAUUCGGUUCUCUGUCCAUCAUAACAUGUUAAGUGGAACAAUUCCUCGAAAUGCAUUCAAUAAUGUUCCCCAUCUGCGGGUGUUAUUCAUGGAUAACAACCAGUUAUAUGGCCCUAUCCCAGUCUCAAUAUCUAAUUCUUCGGAUAUGAUGAUGCUUCAGGUCAUGAAUAAUUCUUUCAGUGGAAUUCUUCCUCCAGCACUUGGAAGACUAAGAAGUCUCAGUUUUCUGCAGCUCAGUUUCAAUUAUUUUCAAGCUAAAGAACCAAAAGAUUGGGAUUUCCUAACUGCGUUAACAAACUGCUCUGAGUUACAGGUUUUGGAUCUGUCGUUGAACAGUUUUGGGGGAGUUCUUCCUGAUUCGCUUUCCAAUCUUUCUGCUUCGCUAGAACAUCUUUUCUUGUUAGACAAUGAAAUCUCAGGAAACAUUCCUAAAGACAUCGGCAAUCUCAUUAGCUUGCAAACACUUGCUCUUGGUGGCAACUUCUUCUCAGGAGUUCUUCCCUCUUCCUUGUGCAGUCUUAAAAGCUUGGUCAGGCUUUAUCUAGUUGAUAAUGACAUAACCGGAACAAUCCCGCUGGCCAUAGGAAAUCUUUCAGAACUAGCUGAUCUGGAACUCUCUUCCAAUUACAUUAGGGGUACAAUACCAAGCACACUUGGAAACCUCACAAAGCUGUCAAUGCUGGGCCUUUCACAAAAUUACUUGGCUGGCCCAAUUCCUAGAGAAAUAUUCAGCAUCUCCACACUUUCCCUUGGUUUGUAUCUGUCUAACAAUAACUUGGAGGGAUCAUUGCCACAAGAAAUUGGGAACCUAAAAAAUCUCAUAUCAUUUGAUGCAGAGUCUAACAGCUUAUCAGGGGAAAUCCCUACCACCAUAGGUGAUUGUGAACUUCUCUUGAAUCUUUUUCUCCAAAACAACACCUUAAAUGGCAGUAUCCCAUUAGCCUUGAGCCAAAUGAGUGGUCUAGAAAUUAUUGACCUCUCCAGCAACAAUUUAUCAGGCCAGCUACCCAAGUCCUUAGGGAAUCUUACCAUGCUCCACUAUCUCAACCUCUCAUUCAAUAACCUAUCUGGAGAAGUGCCUGAUUUUGGCCUUUUUACAAACUUUACUGCAAUCUCAAUCCAAGGCAAUGACAAACUUUGUGGUGGCGUUCCUGGUCUGCAUUUGCCAGCAUGCCCUGUACAAUUAUCAAAGAAAAAACAUAAAUUCCUAGUGAUUCCUAUCGUUAUUUCUCUUGUGACAACACUAGUCGUACUAGUCUUGCUCUGCAUGCUUCUUAUUUGGCGCAAGAAAAUCAAAACAAAUAUCCUAUCAACACAUUCCAUGCAAGGCCACCCAUUGAUCUCUUAUUCACAACUGCUAAGAGCAACAAAUAGUUUCUCAGAAACAAAUUUAUUGGGCUCAGGAUCAUUUGGAUCUGUAUACAAGGGAGAAUUGAAUGCUCAAGAAGGUGGAAGCACAAAUCUUGUUGCUGUGAAGGUAUUGAAACUUCAAACUCCCAAGGCACUCAAGAGUUUCACUGCUGAAUGUGAAGCACUACGGAAUAUGCGGCACCGAAAUCUUGUCAAGAUACAUACAAUUUGUUCAAGCAUUGAUACCAUGGGAAAUGAUUUCAGAGCAAUUGUGUAUGACUUCAUGCCUAAUGGUAGUUUAGAAAGUUGGCUACAUCCAGACAUAAAUUGUCUGGCAGAGCAAAGAUACUUGAAUCUCUUGGAAAGAGUGACCAUACUCCUUGAUGUGGCUUAUGCAUUAGAUCACCUUCAUUGCCAUGGACCUGAACCUGUUGUGCAUUGUGAUAUCAAGUCAAGUAAUGUGCUUUUGGAUGCUGAUAUGGUAGCCCAUGUUGGGGACUUUGGACUCGCUAAGGUUCUUGUUCAGGGCAGCUCAUUGUUGCAACAGUCAGCAAGCUCAAUGGGAUUUAGAGGGACAAUUGGAUAUGCUGCUCCAGAGUAUGGUGCUGGAAACAUGGUAUCAACACAUGGAGACAUUUACAGUUAUGGAAUUUUGGUCCUGGAAACAAUAACUGGAAAUAGGCCCACUGACAGCAGAUAUAGACAAGGAUUGGACCUCCGUGAACACGUUGAUCUAUCCCUCCAUGAUAGAACUAUGGACGCUGUUGACACGCGCUUGUUAGUAGACCUUGAAAAUGAGCUUCAUACCAUCGGUGAUUCUUCGUACAAUAGGAAGAUUGAUUGCAUUGUUUCCCUUUUGAGUCUUGGAGUAUCCUGCACCCAGGAAUUGCCGUCACAAAGAAUGCCAACAGAAUCUAUCAUCAAAGAGCUACUGGCCAUCAAAGAUUCACUCCUGAGAGAACAGAGAACAUGACAGGAGGACGAUAUGCCAAUGCAGCGACAGUCCUCUUUUCCUUCUCAAGUGUCUGAAGCUUAUUCCUGCGGUUGCAUUUUCCACAAGUUUUUCUACAGUUGAAAUUACCGGCUGCCACUGGGUUCUCUUCGGCCCCUGGAGGUGGUGCUCCUCUGCAGGGCGGGGCCCAGGCGGCGGUACUGGCGGCGAUGGUGGAAGCAGAAUCCAGUUUUCAGUUACCAAAAAAAAAUACUCAUGUUAAAUCCUUCAUCCAGGGAAAGACAAUUUGAAUGUUUGUUCCACCAUGGUUGAUCCGCAGCGGGCAUAAGCUAUACCUGAAGGCAGGCAGGACUGUAGCCACUUGUGAUGGGGGGCUACAAAAAGCUUUCACCCUGUUCGCUUCAGCUUAUUCAGCCGGCUUAUCAGCCACCGAACAGUGUUUUCCUCUCACAACAAAUCAGCCGUUUCAGCUUUUCAGCCGGCUUAUAAGCUGAAGCGAACAGGCCCUUUAACGCCAUUCCUAUGUUGAGAGAAUUCUAUUCUCAUACAAGGCGCAGGUAACCGCAACCAAUUCUACAGAAUGCUACUUACUGAGGUGACCCCUGAUAACAAUCCAAAGACUCUCGUCUGACCCACCCAACAAGAAAGUUAGCCAUAGGGCAACGUUAAAUCUCCAUGGUUUCCACUGUAACAAAGACGAUGUCCAUGGCACAGUGAAACAGUCAAAACAGAGACAGUAGUACAACGUUGACGUUUAAACCAUACAGGUAAAAAAGAUACUUUAAACUAAAAGAAAAUUAGAGGAGCAUAAUUUUAAGCAAGUCCCCCAUAAACUGGAUUGUAGGAAUGAUAGAACACAAAUCACACCAUCCAUGUCCACUUAAGUUUUGACCAAUUCAUGAUUUGUACUUUCUUUACUCCGUCACCUCUACUCCUUUUAGUAAAAUAAAUAGUACUAAUAAACAACUAUGCUAGAGAAAUACUGGAACCCCAUUUCAUGGAUAAAAAAUCCCCCCUUCUUUUGUUCUAAUAAUAGUAUGAUCUUGGAACCACAAUUCCUUUUAACAUCCCUUAGAACCACCAAUUUUUAAUAUUAAUACAUUUAUAAAUAGUUUUCUGAAAACAUUAUUAUUAAAAUACUUUUCAGACAAACGAAAACAUUCAGUACGAGUUAGAUUAUCAAUCAAAUUUGGUUUAGUCUACCCACACACGUUUGGAAUCUACACUUUUAGGAGGAGAGCAAGUUUUGCUCACUGAAAUGUGGGCACACCUGUCAGUAACCUCUCUCCUAUUCCGCUUUCUCGACCUGGAUUGGGGUCGUCUCGGCACGAGGCCCGGGGACUGCAGCCGCCGCGGCGGUGGCGAUGAAGACGCGACGGCGCCACGCCGCGGUUCCGGCGUCCGCCCGCCGCCGCAAACUUUGCUGGCCGCGGCGGCUGCGCGAGCGAGAUGUGCUCGUGGAUGGCGCCGUCCGCCGCCUAGAAGCGUAUGAUGGGGGAGCAUCCGGGUAGGAGGCCACGCGCCGCUGGAUCUCGUGGUUCUUAGCGAAGAUGGUGGCAUCGGUGGCUUACAUGCAGAUGUGCAUGCCAUAAUUGAUUUGCAUGCAUGGAGGGCAUUGUAGACCUCUUAUGUCAAAUAAGCCACUUGGGAACUAAAAACUAGCUAUAUUAUGGGACAAAAUUUGAAUGCUAGAAGUAGCUACGUUCUGGAAUGGAGGUAAUAUCAUUCAACAACUUUGUCGGAGAAGUGCCAACUGUAGGUGUUUUUGCAAAUGUUUCUGGAGUCUCAAUCAAAGGCAAUGGUAAACUUUGCAAUGGAAUAACUGGUCUACAUUUGCCUCCUUGUUCGAUACAGCAACGACCAAAGAAAACCAAAAGCUUGUGGUUGUGCCCAUUGUUAUUUCUCUUGUUGCAGCACUUGUUAUCUUUUCAUCACUUUACAUUAUUACAUCCUGGCUCAAGGGAAACAAAACAAAAAUCCCUUCAACAACACGCAUGCAAGGCCACCCAUUGAUCUCGUACUCCCAGUUGGUGAAAGCAACAGAAGGCUUCUCUCCUACCAAUUUUCUGGGCUCUGGAUCAUUUGGGUCGGUAUACAAAGGAGAGUUAGAUUGUUAAGAUGGGGAAGGUAAAGAUCUUGUUGCUGUGAAGGUGCAAGUAAGAAGAAGGUGAUGAUGGAGGUCCCUUGGGCGUACUAAGUGCCCUUCGGAGCACGAGGACGGAAAGCCUGCCCUCAGGACUCCAGAUGGGGGUGUUGUGCACCUCAACGACAUCUCGAUCUAUCCCUGAAAGGAAGAACAGGGACGCUUGACGAAGAGCACCUCGACCUACGAAGGGCUGAAUGCGCUAAAGACCACGCUGUCAGCCACAUGGAAUGACGAGGCCGUACAAGGGGCCAGCUGGAGGAAUCCGUACGAAGGCCGUAUUUCCCAUUGUACCCUGGAAUAUCCUUGGAAUCUAGCUGUUGGGUAACAGUAAAGUGUAAUUGAACGUUGUGGCGGUUGAUCUCCCUAUAAAUAGAGGCGCCACUGUAACUGAUGGGGGACAAAUCCGAAGUAAAUGAAAAUUAAUGCCA